UUAAGUUAUUAAGGGCGCACGGUGGAUGCCUUGGCACUAGAAGCCGAUGAAGGACGUUACUAACGACGAUAUGCUUUGGGGAGCUGUAAGUAAGCUUUGAUCCAGAGAUUUCCGAAUGGGGAAACCCAGCAUGAGUUAUGUCAUGUUAUCGAUAUGUGAAUACAUAGCAUAUCAGAAGGCACACCCGGAGAACUGAAACAUCUUAGUACCCGGAGGAAGAGAAAGAAAAUUCGAUUCCCUUAGUAGCGGCGAGCGAAACGGGAAGAGCCCAAACCAACAAGCUUGCUUGUUGGGGUUGUAGGACACUCUAUACGGAGUUACAAAGGACGACAUUAGACGAAUCAUCUGGAAAGAUGAAUCAAAGAAGGUAAUAAUCCUGUAGUCGAAAAUGUUGUCUCUCUUGAGUGGAUCCUGAGUACGACGGAGCACGUGAAAUUCCGUCGGAAUCUGGGAGGACCAUCUCCUAAGGCUAAAUACUCUCUAGUGACCGAUAGUGAACCAGUACCGUGAGGGAAAGGUGAAAAGCACCCCGGAAGGGGAGUGAAAUAGAACCUGAAACCGUGUGCUUACAAGUAGUCAGAGCCCGUUAAUGGGUGAUGGCGUGCCUUUUGUAGAAUGAACCGGCGAGUUACGAUUUGAUGCAAGGUUAAGCAGUAAAUGUGGAGCCGUAGCGAAAGCGAGUCUGAAUAGGGCGUUUAGUAUUUGGUCGUAGACCCGAAACCAGGUGAUCUACCCUUGGUCAGGUUGAAGUUCAGGUAACACUGAAUGGAGGACCGAACCGACUUACGUUGAAAAGUGAGCGGAUGAACUGAGGGUAGCGGAGAAAUUCCAAUCGAACCUGGAGAUAGCUGGUUCUCUCCGAAAUAGCUUUAGGGCUAGCCUCAAGUGAUGAUUAUUGGAGGUAGAGCACUGUUUGGACGAGGGGCCCCUCUCGGGUUACCGAAUUCAGACAAACUCCGAAUGCCAAUUAAUUUAACUUGGGAGUCAGAACAUGGGUGAUAAGGUCCGUGUUCGAAAGGGAAACAGCCCAGACCACCAGCUAAGGUCCCAAAAUAUAUGUUAAGUGGAAAAGGAUGUGGCGUUGCCCAGACAACUAGGAUGUUGGCUUAGAAGCAGCCAUCAUUUAAAGAGUGCGUAAUAGCUCACUAGUCGAGUGACACUGCGCCGAAAAUGUACCGGGGCUAAACAUAUUACCGAAGCUGUGGAUUGUCCUUUGGACAAUGGUAGGAGAGCGUUCUAAGGGCGUUGAAGCAUGAUCGUAAGGACAUGUGGAGCGCUUAGAAGUGAGAAUGCCGGUGUGAGUAGCGAAAGACGGGUGAGAAUCCCGUCCACCGAUUGACUAAGGUUUCCAGAGGAAGGCUCGUCCGCUCUGGGUUAGUCGGGUCCUAAGCUGAGGCCGACAGGCGUAGGCGAUGGAUAACAGGUUGAUAUUCCUGUACCACCUAUAAUCGUUUUAAUCGAUGGGGGGACGCAGUAGGAUAGGCGAAGCGUGCGAUUGGAUUGCACGUCUAAGCAAUAAGGCUGAGUAUUAGGCAAAUCCGGUACUCGUUAAGGCUGAGCUGUGAUGGGGAGAAGACAUUGUGUCUUCGAGUCGUUGAUUUCACACUGCCGAGAAAAGCCUCUAGAUAGAAAAUAGGUGCCCGUACCGCAAACCGACACAGGUAGUCAAGAUGAGAAUUCUAAGGUGAGCGAGCGAACUCUCGUUAAGGAACUCGGCAAAAUGACCCCGUAACUUCGGGAGAAGGGGUGCUCUUUAGGGUUAACGCCCAGAAGAGCCGCAGUGAAUAGGCCCAAGCGACUGUUUAUCAAAAACACAGGUCUCUGCUAAACCGUAAGGUGAUGUAUAGGGGCUGACGCCUGCCCGGUGCUGGAAGGUUAAGAGGAGUGGUUAGCUUCUGCGAAGCUACGAAUCGAAGCCCCAGUAAACGGCGGCCGUAACUAUAACGGUCCUAAGGUAGCGAAAUUCCUUGUCGGGUAAGUUCCGACCCGCACGAAAGGCGUAACGAUUUGGGCACUGUCUCAACGAGAGACUCGGUGAAAUCAUAGUACCUGUGAAGAUGCAGGUUACCCGCGACAGGACGGAAAGACCCCGUGGAGCUUUACUGUAGCCUGAUAUUGAAAUUCGGCACAGCUUGUACAGGAUAGGUAGGAGCCUUUGAAACGUGAGCGCUAGCUUACGUGGAGGCGCUGGUGGGAUACUACCCUAGCUGUGUUGGCUUUCUAACCCGCACCACUUAUCGUGGUGGGAGACAGUGUCAGGCGGGCAGUUUGACUGGGGCGGUCGCCUCCUAAAAGGUAACGGAGGCGCUCAAAGGUUCCCUCAGAAUGGUUGGAAAUCAUUCAUAGAGUGUAAAGGCAUAAGGGAGCUUGACUGCGAGACCUACAAGUCGAGCAGGGUCGAAAGACGGACUUAGUGAUCCGGUGGUUCCGCAUGGAAGGGCCAUCGCUCAACGGAUAAAAGCUACCCCGGGGAUAACAGGCUUAUCUCCCCCAAGAGUUCACAUCGACGGGGAGGUUUGGCACCUCGAUGUCGGCUCAUCGCAUCCUGGGGCUGUAGUCGGUCCCAAGGGUUGGGCUGUUCGCCCAUUAAAGCGGUACGCGAGCUGGGUUCAGAACGUCGUGAGACAGUUCGGUCCCUAUCCGUCGUGGGCGUAGGAAAUUUGAGAGGAGCUGUCCUUAGUACGAGAGGACCGGGAUGGACAUACCUCUGGUGUACCAGUUGUCGUGCCAACGGCAUAGCUGGGUAGCUAUGUGUGGACGGGAUAAGUGCUGAAAGCAUCUAAGCAUGAAGCCCCCCUCAAGAUGAGAUUUCCCAACUUCGGUUAUAAGAUCCCUCAAAGAUGAUGAGGUUAAUAGGUUCGAGGUGGAAGCAUGGUGACAUGUGGAGCUGACGAAUACUAAUCGAUCGAAGACUUAAUCAA
rnacentral:rRNA from 24 species